rnacentral:rRNA from 1 species
UACGUAGGGGGCAAGCGUUGUCCGGAAUCAUUGGGCGUAAAGAGCGUGUAGGCGGCCCGGUAAGUCCGCUGUAAAAGUCAAAGGCUCAACCUUUGAAUGUCAGUGGAUACUGCCGGGCUAGAGUCCGGAAGAGGCGAGUGGAACUCCUGGUGUAGCGGUGGAAUGCGCAGAUAUCAGGAAGAGCACCAACGGCGAAGGCAGCUCGCUGGGACGGUACUGACGCUGAGACGCGAAAGCGUGGGGAGCAAACAGG